GGCAUCAAUUGUCUGAGCAACACUGAAAUUCUAUUCCUGGUCUUCCUUUCCCAUCCCUUGCAUCGGAUACUUCUUUGAAAGUUCUGUUUGUCCAAGAAAAAGGUUAUUAGCAGGAGAGAUUUUUAAAAAUUACAUGCAUCCCUAGAGCACUCUCUCUAUUGAGAAACUUUGCAAAAAAACAGAAUAUUUGGCUUGAUUUAUUGCUCCUGCCCAUUUUUUCCCUCUUAUUAAUUUUUGUCACUAGGCAAUUGCUGUCAUGGCAACACACCACUCUAGUUUGAUAUCAACACUCUGGCUGUGGGAUGAACCCACAUACCCUUUUCCCUUCAAGGUGGGUUUUAUGAAGAUUUCCCCCUCCACCUAUCCUGAUACCAAGAACUGGAUUUGGCAUUGGUUUUAAGUUGCUCAGAUGAAGAUUCAAGGCUCAGAGGGAAGAAACUUCCCAGGCAUCAUACAGUUGGUCAGUGUUAGAGCCAGAAUUUAAAGUCCACUCUGUUAUACCGUUCUGAUAUUCUAAUCACUUUGAUUCCCUGCUGUUCCUGCCCAAGGCUCCUGCAGAUGCCAGGCACCUCUUAUGCUCAGUCAAGGAAGGUCUGUCAGCUUCUAUCAGCACAAAGGAGCAACCCAGUUAAGCAAGGUCAGAAGACUCUGAGGCAGCAGACAACUGGGGAAAGGGGAGAAUAGAUAUCUAAAAUCUAAGAAAGACAGUGUUUAUCACUGACCGCUUACAUCAAGUUAUUGGGUGCCCUCAUUUAUUAUGUUAAAAUGGUUGCAGCUGAUGUGAAUUCAUCUAAAAGCAAAGGUAAGUGGCUGUUAAUGCCACUUGGCUUAAUAAUCUGAAAGUGGAAGAAACUCUUGAUGCUUACUGAGUUAAAGGAGUCUUUGUUCUUUGAGUCUUCUUUUCCUUAAAGAGCAAGCUGAUGUUCUCUUAAUCUAACUCUCAUCUCCUUUCAUGACCUUCAGUCUACUCAUGAUUUUCAAGGAGAAAAAUGAAAGACAGUACCAAACCAAACCAAAGCAAACAAACAAAGAAACCAAAACCACAGCCCCUGGGCUCUCUCUCUAGUCCCAUGAACAUCUACCACAAUUUACUCAGAAAAAGAGCCGC
rnacentral:lncRNA from 1 species